GCGGGUAAACGGCGGGAGUAA
rnacentral:ncRNA from 2 species